rnacentral:lncRNA from 9 species
AUGCUACACAGGGACAGAAGUGACAUGCACUGGACACACGUGCCACGCUGGAGGCGUGCCGGUCUGGCGGUGCCUCAGGCGUGCAGGCGGGAAUGCACUCAUCGGAUGCUCAGUGGGCAGCCCUCUGCUCAUUUCUGCAGUGCACUGAGGAUGGAUAGCGUGGUUGCUUUUGGUUUAACCAUUAAACGGUGCUCACCACCUACUGACAUCACGAUUCCGUAUGUUUGGGCAACAAAUCCCCAUGUCGGAGGUGAUAAGAGGGUCCCUGAGCGCCUAGACAAUUAAAAAACGACAGCCUGGUGACUGGCCACCGUGUCCCAGAUGGUCUGGGCUAGGUCUGGACUUUCCCCCGAUGCCCUGGGGAGGCUCCUAUCAGGUGCCUGUCAGGCAGAGGCUGGAGGCAGCUGAAACUCCUUUGUAACCCAGCAUCUGCCAUCCUUGGUCUCUGUUCUAAAAAAAAGGGCCCCGGAGAGAGAAGCCACCCCUCUGUGCUUACCCGCAGGUCAGCACAGUUGGGGACAGAUGGUUAGACCACGAGGGGCCCGGAAACCUGUGACCGGGAGCUCCUUAGGUGUUCAGGACCUUAAAAUGCCUCCACGCUCGUGGGUGGUUCAACCCUCGGGACAACCCAGAGAAAGGUCCUGCGUCCCCCCUCCCCUGCCCCACGACAGUGCUGAGACCCAUCAUGGUUGAAUGUCUUCUGGGGGAGGAGGGGCCCGGAUGAGAGCAGCAGCUGGUCGGGUGCUCAUCCCAGCCUCCCACCCAGAGAGCCUCGGACACACGGACAGGCACGGGCUGAAUCGGAGAACAAACUGAUGUGUUAGGAGUGGUUGAGUGGUGGCAGCCUCAUUCACCACAGCCCAGAGGGGAACCACCCAAACAGCCAUUGAUGGAUGGAGGGUGGAUAAGAAAAUGCGGUCCUUUUACGCAAAUGGAAUAUUACUCAGCCCUCAAAAGGAAGGAGAUCCUGCCACCUGCCACAACAGGGAGGGACCUUGAGGACAUGGUGCCCAGGGAAAUAAGCAGACACAGAAGGACAAACAUGGGGUGAUCCCACUUAUGUGAGCUCCCUGGUCAUCGGAUUCACAGAGAUGGAAAGCAGAAUGGGGGGGCACUGGGGACUGAGGGCGUAGGAAGGAGGAUUCAUGUUUCAUGGGGACAGAGUCUUGGCUUGGGAGACGGAUGGUGGUGACCGUCACACAACAUUGUGAAUUUUCCUGUGAAUGCACUGCAUUGCACGGAGCACUUAAAAAUGGUUAAAAUGGGGCGUCCCAUGGGGGUGCAGCAGAUUAAGGAUCCAGCAUUGUCACUGCUGUGGUUCAGGUUGCUGCAGUGGUGUGGGUUUGAUCCUUGGCUCGGGAACUUCCACAUGCCAUGGGCACAGCCAAAGACAAAAACAAAAACAAAAAAAAGUUAAAAUGGUAAAUUUCAUGUCUAUUUCGCAAAUUUUAAAAAUAAUAAA